rnacentral:lncRNA from 1 species
CUCUUUUCUCAUGGAGCUGCCGGAUUUCUGUGUCAGUACUGUGUGUGGGAGAUGAAGUCCAGCAUCAGAGCCAGGCUAAAGAGGAGAUGGAGACCAGGAGGAUCUCUGCAUCGUAAAGGAAACACGCUGUAUGCUUCCAUACAAUACCACACCUCUAGAAGCCACACUGAAUUUAAGGAGAAACCCUUCUCUUUCCUGGGUUGCUUGCACCAAGCUGCGCAAAUCCUGAUGGCCUUAAGCACGCCAACCUGGUCCCAGUGGAGCUACUCACAUCCUGAGUUAUGCAGGAGAGUUUGCCUCCCCUGUCACUUCAUGACAAAACCAGCUGGGAACCACUGGUGUUUGCAGAUAUCUUUUGGACCAAAACUGCAAACAGGGCCCGGGGCAGCAUGACUGCAACCUCCUG